UCUUUCUUUGCUGGCGACCGGCGCACGGUGAGUAACACGUAUCCAACCUGCCCUUUACUCGGGGAUAGCCUUUCGAAAGAAAGAUUAAUACCCGAUAGUAUAAUGAUUCCGCAUGGUUUCAUUAUUAAAGGAUUCCGGUAAAGGAUGGGGAUGCGUUCCAUUAGGUUGUUGGUGAGGUAACGGCUCACCAAGCCUUCGAUGGAUAGGGGUUCUGAGAGGAAGGUCCCCCACAUUGGAACUGAGACACGGUCCAA
rnacentral:rRNA from 1 species